GGGUCCCCCCGGUGUCCGCCGCCUUCGCUGUCCCCCCGCGCCCGCCACUUCCGGGCCCUCGUCUUGGGCAUGGAGCGUCGCGUGUGAGGCGCCGCCGGCCCCGGGGACGCCCUGCUCAGCUUGUCCUCCGCGCCACGCUCGGGUGAGCAGCGUCCGGCCCCGGCUCGCCGCCUCCCGCCCCGGCCGGCGCCGUCCGCCCGCCUCGGCGCCGCGCGCCCUGUCCUCGUCGUCCCCGCCGCUCUGGUCGCCGCGCUUCGCCGGUUCCGGGCCGCGCCCAAGAGCUGCUGCCGCACCGCUGCGGAGACGCAGCCGCCAGCUUCAUCGCAGAGCGCGGCUCAGCCCGGCGUCCGCGCAGCCUCCGCCAGCCUCCGCCAGCCUCGUCUCUGCCAAACCCUCCCUCCCGGCCUCAUCCUUCCCAACCUGAUCCCCUCAAGCCUCAUCCUCUUCCAUCUUGAUCUUCUAAAGCCGGAUCCCCGCAAGCCUGAUUCCCCUCCCAGCUUGAUCCCUCAAGCCUGAUCCCCAAAACUUGAUCCGUCCAACUUGUUCCCUCAAGGCCUGAUAGUCCAGGUUGACCCUCCUCUCAAACCUGAAAUCCUAAAGCUUCAUACCCCAAAGCUUGAAACCCGCAGCAUGAACCUCUCCAAAUGACCCUACCAGCCUGACUCUUCCAAGACUGGUCACUCCCCAAGCCUGAUCCUUCACUCAGCCCUUAUCCUCUGCCUCAGUUUCCACAUUGUCGCAUGCCAAGCUUGAUACCCUCCCAGACUAAAAUCAUAUCCUCUGUCUCAUCCCUUUCCUCCCCGGAUUAGCUUGAACCCCCUCAGCUUCCAGCAUUCAUUCCCUGCAUCUUGAGCCCCACCCUUAGGAUCUCGGCCUUAGGCCCAUCCAUCCCCUCCCCAUCCACGAUUUUGCCCAGCCUUUGACCUCAGCGGCCUUUUUGCUGCCUGUUACCCAGGCUCCCUCGGGAGCCCCCAGGGCAAUCACCAACCUGCUUUCGAAGAGUUGGGACUGGUGCCCAGGAGGUGUGGACCACAGUCGCCAGUUCCCUGCUGGGUCCCAGGGAGACCGCACACUGAGGGACACGUCUCUUCCAAGUACAACCCAGGGCAUGUUGGCAGCCCCGAGGGGCUGGGAGGCUCAGUUAGAGUCGAACCAGGUAGAUAGGGUUAGGCACAGGCGGAGACUCCCGCCCGCAUGGAAAGUCCGUGCCCCUCGCCUGCAGCUGCCAUGGAAGCUCCUUGGACCCUUUAGAAGCUUCUCGCCGCCAUCACAGGAGCCCCAGAGGAUGUGCAGCGGGGUCUCCCCAGUUGAGCAGGUGGCCGCAGGGGACAUGGAUGACACGGCAGCACGCUUCUGUGUGCAGAAGCACUCGUGGGAUGGGCUGCGUAGCAUUAUCCACGGCAGUCGCAAGUCCUCGGGCCUCAUUGUCAGCAAGGCCCCCCACGACUUCCAGUUUGUGCAGAAGCCUGACGAGUCUGGCCCCCACUCUCACCGUCUCUAUUACCUCGGAAUGCCUUACGGCAGCCGUGAGAACUCCCUCCUCUACUCCGAGAUCCCCAAGAAAGUGCGGAAGGAGGCCCUGCUGCUGCUGUCCUGGAAGCAGAUGCUGGACCACUUCCAGGCCACACCCCACCAUGGUGUCUACUCCCGAGAGGAGGAGCUACUGCGGGAGCGCAAGCGCCUGGGCGUCUUCGGAAUCACCUCUUAUGACUUCCACAGUGAGAGCGGCCUCUUCCUCUUCCAGGCCAGCAAUAGCCUGUUCCACUGCAGGGAUGGUGGCAAGAAUGGCUUUAUGGUGUCCCCGAUGAAGCCACUGGAGAUCAAGACUCAGUGUUCUGGGCCACGCAUGGACCCCAAAAUCUGCCCCGCAGACCCUGCCUUCUUUUCCUUCAUCAACAACAGUGAUCUGUGGGUGGCAAACAUCGAGACUGGGGAGGAACGGCGGCUCACCUUCUGUCACCAGGGUUCAGCUGGUGUCCUGGACAAUCCCAAAUCAGCAGGCGUGGCCACCUUUGUCAUCCAGGAGGAGUUCGACCGCUUCACUGGGUGCUGGUGGUGCCCCACGGCCUCUUGGGAAGGCUCCGAAGGUCUCAAGACGCUGCGCAUCCUAUAUGAGGAAGUGGACGAGUCUGAAGUGGAGGUCAUUCAUGUGCCCUCCCCCGCCCUGGAGGAGAGGAAGACGGACUCCUACCGCUACCCCAGGACAGGCAGCAAGAACCCCAAGAUUGCCCUGAAGCUGGCUGAGCUCCAGACGGACCAUCAGGGCAAAAUCGUGUCAAGCUGCGAGAAGGAACUGGUACAGCCAUUCAGCUCCCUUUUCCCCAAAGUGGAGUACAUCGCCCGGGCUGGCUGGACACGGGACGGCAAAUAUGCCUGGGCCAUGUUCCUGGACCGUCCCCAGCAACGGCUUCAGCUUGUCCUCCUGCCCCCUGCUCUCUUCAUCCCGGCCGUUGAGAGUGAGGCCCAGCGGCAGGCAGCUGCCAGAGCCGUCCCCAAGAAUGUGCAGCCCUUUGUCAUCUAUGAAGAAGUCACCAAUGUCUGGAUCAACGUCCACGACAUCUUCCACCCGUUUCCUCAGGCUGAGGGCCAGCAGGACUUUUGUUUCCUUCGUGCCAACGAAUGCAAGACUGGCUUCUGCCACCUGUACAGGGUCACAGUGGAACUUAAAACCAAGGACUAUGACUGGACGGAACCCCUCAGCCCUACAGAAGAUGAGUUUAAGUGCCCCAUCAAGGAGGAGGUCGCCCUGACCAGUGGCGAGUGGGAGGUCUUGUCGAGGCAUGGCUCCAAGAUCUGGGUCAACGAGCAGACGAAGCUGGUGUACUUUCAAGGUACAAAGGACACACCGCUGGAACAUCACCUCUAUGUGGUCAGCUACGAGUCAGCAGGCGAGAUCGUGCGGCUCACCACGCUCGGCUUCUCCCACAGCUGCUCCAUGAGCCAGAGCUUCGACAUGUUCGUGAGUCACUACAGCAGUGUGAGCACGCCACCCUGUGUACAUGUGUACAAGCUGAGCGGCCCCGAUGAUGACCCACUGCACAAGCAACCACGCUUCUGGGCCAGCAUGAUGGAGGCAGCCAAUUGCCCCCCAGACUAUGUGCCCCCUGAGAUCUUCCACUUCCACACCCGUGCAGACGUGCAGCUCUACGGCAUGAUCUACAAGCCACACACCCUGCAACCUGGGAGGAAGCACCCCACUGUGCUCUUUGUCUAUGGGGGCCCACAGGUGCAGUUGGUGAACAACUCCUUUAAGGGCAUCAAAUACCUGCGGCUAAAUACACUGGCAUCCUUGGGCUAUGCUGUGGUGGUGAUCGAUGGUCGGGGCUCCUGUCAGCGGGGCCUGCACUUCGAGGGGGCCCUGAAAAAUCAAAUGGGCCAGGUGGAGAUUGAGGACCAGGUGGAAGGCUUGCAGUACGUGGCUGAGAAGUAUGGCUUCAUUGACUUGAGCCGAGUCGCCAUCCAUGGCUGGUCCUACGGCGGCUUCCUCUCACUCAUGGGGCUCAUCCACAAGCCACAAGUGUUCAAGCCGCCCCACGAGGCCGAGUCCCCCUCCUCAUUGCCUGCCACCACCGACCCCAGGAUGGCAUCCGCCAGCAGCUCUAUGUGGGAGGCCAAGCCCGGGACCCCCGCCUCGGAGGGGCAGAGGUAGCCAUUGCGGGCGCUCCUGUCACUGUGUGGAUGGCCUAUGACACAGGGUACACGGAACGAUACAUGGAUGUCCCCGAAAAUAACCAGCAAGGCUAUGAGGCAGGGUCUGUAGCCCUGCAUGUGGAGAAGCUGCCCAAUGAGCCUAACCGCCUGCUUAUCCUCCACGGCUUCCUGGACGAGAACGUUCACUUCUUCCACACAAAUUUCCUGGUGUCCCAGCUGAUCCGAGCAGGAAAGCCAUACCAGCUUCAGAUCUACCCAAACGAGAGACAUAGCAUCCGCUGCCGCGAGUCCGGAGAGCAUUACGAGGUGACGCUGCUGCACUUUCUGCAGGAACACCUGUGACCUCAGUCCCGACUCCUGACGCCACCGCUGCUCUUCUUGCGUUUUUGUAAUCUUUUCAUUUUUGAAGCUUCCAAUUUGCUUGCUGCUGCUGCUGCCUGGGGGCCAGGACAGAGGUAGUGGCGGCCCCCAUGCCGCCCUCCUUGAGCUGGUGAGGAGAAGUCGCCAUUGAGCACACAACCUCCACCAGACUGCCAUGGCCCCGAACCUGCAAUUCCAUCCUAGCGCAGAAGCAUGUGCCUGCCACCUGCUGCCCCUGCAGAGUCAUGUGUGUUUGUGGUGGGCAUUUUAAAUAAUUAUUUAAAAGACAGGAAGUAAGCGGUACCGAGCAAUGAAACUGAAGGUACAGCACUGGGCGUCUGGGGACCCCACGCUCUCCCAACGCCCAGACUAUGUGGAGCUGCCAAGCCCCUGUCUGGGCACCUCUGCCCUGCCUGUCUGCUGCCCGGAUCCUCCUCACUUAGCACCUAGGGGUGUCAGGGUCGGGAGUAGGACCUGUCCUGACCUCAGGGUUAUAUAUAGCCCUUCCCCACUCCCUCCUACGAGAGUUCUGGCAUAAAGAAGUAAAAAAGAAAAAGAAAAAAACAAACAAAAAAACCAAACCACCUCUACAUAUUAUGGAAAGAAAAUAUUUUUGUCAAUUCUUAUUCUUUUAUAAUUAUGUGGUAUGUAGACUCAUUAAACAAUUCCAAAUGAAA